rnacentral:rRNA from 1 species
AACGAACGCUGGCGGCAUGCCUAACACAUGCAAGUCGAACGAGACCUUCGGGUCUAGUGGCGCACGGGUGCGUAACGCGUGGGAACCUGCCCUUAGGUUCGGAAUAACUCCCCGAAAGGGGUGCUAAUACCGGAUAAUGUCUUCGGACCAAAGAUUUAUCGCCUUUGGAUGGGCCCGCGUUGGAUUAGCUAGUUGGUAGGGUAAAAGCCUACCAAGGCGACGUUCCAUAGCUGGUCUGAGAGGAUGAUCAGCCACACUGGGACUGAGACACGGCCCAGAAUCCGACGGAAGGCAGCAGUGGGGAAUAUUGGACAAUGGGCGAAAGCCUGAUCCAGCAAUGCCGCGUGAGUGAUGAAGGCCUUAGGGUUGUAAAGCUCUUUGACCCGGGAUGAUAAUGACAGUACCGGGAGAAUAAGCACCGGCUAACUCCGUG